GGACGGCUGUUGACAUUAUGUAAGAGUAUAGCACUAUAAAAUCAAUGUGAAUAGCAUGGCACAGAUAAUUUAUUCUUGUUUUUCAAACUUAGCUAUCUUGAUAUCACACAGUAGAAUACUUCCUAAUCAAAACAAAAAUUGUGUGGAGUUGUUCAGUGGCCUCCCUGAGGUAAAAGGCAGACUGCGUUUGGUUUGAGUGAGAUGACCAGACAAUCAUGCGAGCGUGGCGUUUUGAUUUGCAUGGACAUUUUGGAUGGUGGGAGAGUACGACAGGUCACACGUCCACCUCUUCUCCCAUCAUGUGUCCUGAUCUCAUAACAUUUAAACCUGUGAAACACUGCACAAGAUGCUAGGGUUAACAUGGAGUGCCAGCACUGAUAUACCUGCUUGUUUGCCACGGCUCGUGUGCCUGGAAUGUGUCGCUAAAAUGCAAGGAGGACACAACGGCAUUCCUUAUGGAAUUACAGAAAGAGACUCCAAGCAAAUAUGCAGUCUUGAGACAGGGUGGAGUACUUUGUGGGUAUUUGUGUUCCAGACUCUUGUACAGAAUCAGAAAUCCAGACGCUAGUUUUUUUAUGGUGAGUGAAACCAUUGUGUUUAACAUUUAUCUGAUCCACACAAAGAACCAACAGUUUUUGAAAACUUGCGCUGCCCUUAAAAUAUGUUUGUUAUUGCUUUAGACAAAUUAUUGAACCUUGUGUAUUUUAUUUGAAAGCAAAACAUUUAAAUCUACAGUGCUUCUUCAAAAUAUUUGUGUGGGAUGUACAUCAUGUUCACCUUUCUAUGUUUUUGUGUUCAUGUCUGCAGAGGCCUUUGAGCAGAAACAAAUCUCUUUGCUUUCUUCUGUGCCUUCAAUCCUAAUGUCAAAUUCCACUUUUGCAUAUUCAUAAAUCACUGCCUCAGUGAUUCCACUCAUGCAGAACUGUCUCUGAUAGUCUGCCUCUCUACCUGUUUCUGGUUCACCUGCUGUUGACAGUCUGUUGGUUACAUAUUAACUGUGCUAAAUGAAAAGCCGUAUCUCUUCCUGCCGAAACGAUGAGUCCUGCUCCUUUACCUUAAAACUGGAAGAUGAAGAGAAGAUUUAAAAAGAAGAGUGAAAUAUAUUUAUAUAUUUAAGAGAAACAAGAAGAUUUUAAGUACAGUGUAUUUAUUAAUUCAUUUUCCCCGGUUUUCUCAUUUCAUUCUGUUUGAAAGCUGUAGAUUGCUGUUCAUGAAGAGUGAACAGACCUGUGGUGUUCUUAUUUGAAUGCGUUAAAUAAAUGAUUUGAUGUACAGAA